CAUGCAAGUCGACUGCAUUUAGUUGCAGGGCAGACGGGUGAGUAACACGUUGGUAUCUGCCCCAAACCCAGGGAUAACCCUUCGAAAGGAGGGAUAAUACCGGAUGGUCCCGCAAGGGUAAAGCUUCGGCGGUUUGGGAGGAGCCUGCGUAGUAUCAGCUUGUUGGUGAGGUAAAAGCUCACCAAGGCUAUGACGCUUAGCUGGUCUGAGAGGAUGAUCAGUCACAAUGGAACUGAGACACGGUCCAUACUCCUACGGGAGGCAGCAGUAAAGAAUCUUCCGCAAUGGGCGAAAGCCUGACGGAGCAACACUGCGUGGUGGAUGAAGGCUUUCGGGUCGUAAACACCUUUUAUAGGGGAAGAAGUUCUGACGGUACCCUAAGAAUAAGCGACGGCUAAUUACGUGCCAGCAGCCGCGGUAAUACGUAAGUCGCAAGCGUUAUCCGGAAUUAUUGGGCGUAAAGCGUCCGUAGGCGGUUUUAUUAGUCUAUGGUUAAAGCCCGGGGCUCAACCCCGGAAUCGUCAUGGAAACUGUAAAACUUGAGGUGUGCAGGGGCAGAUGGAAUUCCAGAAGUAGGGGUAAAAUCUGUAGAUCUCUGGAGGAACACCAAACGCGAAGGCAUUCUGCUGGGCACUACCUGACGCUGAGGGACGAAAGCGUGGGGAGCAAAGGGGAUUAGAUACCCCCGUAGUCCACGCCGUANACGAUGGAUACUCGGUAUUGGAGGCUUCGACCCCUUCGGUGCCUAAGCUAACGCAUUAAGUAUCCCGCCUGGGUAGUACGGUCGCAAGAUUAAAACUCAAAGGAAUAGACGGGGACCCACACAAGCGGUGGAGCAUGUGG
rnacentral:rRNA from 1 species